rnacentral:rRNA from 1 species
AGCGAACGCUGGCGGCAUGCCUAACACAUGCAAGUCGCACGGGUCGGCUUCGGUUGGUCCGUGGUGGACGGGCGAGGAAGGCGUAGGGGCCUGUCCUCUGGUCGGGUAGAACCGCGGGAAACCGCGGCUAAGACCGUAUGGGCCGCUGGGGUGAGAGCCGGUGUCUAAGGCGUGCAUCGCGAGGUGUGUGUCGGCGGGGGGUGAGGCUGCGUCCGAUUAGCUGGUGGGCGGGGUAGUGGCCCACCAAGGCGUGGAUAGGUAGCUGGUCUGGGAGGGUGGUCAGCCACACUGGGAGUGGGACGCGGCCCAGACUACUACGGGAGGGAGCAGAGGGGGAUAUUGGAAAAUGGGCGGAAGGAUGAUCGAGCACGGACGGGUGGGUGAAGAAGGUCUGCGGGUAGUAAAGCCCGUUAGGAGGGGACGAUGGUGACGGUACCCGCAGAAGAAGCCCCGGCUAACUUCGUG